CCAGACUCCUACGGGAGGCAGCAGUGAGGAAUAUUGGUCAAUGGUCGGGAGACUGAACCAGCCAAGCCGCGUGAGGGAUGAAGGUACAGAGUAUCGUAAACCUCUUUUGUCAGGGAACAAAGGCGGGGACGUGUCCCCGGAUGAGUGUACCUGAAGAAAAAGCAUCGGCUAACUCCGUGCCAGCAGCCGCGGUAAUACGGGGGAUGCGAGCGUUAUCCGGAUUUAUUGGGUUUAAAGGGUGCGUAGGCGGCGCUUCAGGUCAGCGGUGAAAUACCGGGGCUCAACCCCGGGGCUGCCGUUGAAACCGGAGCGCUAGAAUUCCGAUGCCGUCGGAGGAAUGUGUGGUGUAGCGGUGAAAUGCAUAGAUAUCACGCAGAACUCCGAUUGCGAAGGCAGCAUACCGGCGCCCGACUGACGCUGAGGCACGAAAGCGUGGGUAUCGAACAGGAUUAGAUACCCUUGUA
rnacentral:rRNA from 1 species